GACGAACGCUGGCGGCGUGCUUAACACAUGCAAGUCGAGCGGUAAGGCCCUUUCGGGGGUACACGAGCGGCGAACGGGUGAGUAACACGUGGGUGACCUGCCCUCAGCUCUGGGAUAAGCCUGGGAAACCGGGUCUAAUACCGGAUAUGACUCCAUGACGCAUGUUGUGGGGUGGAAAGCCUUGUGCGGCUGAGGAUGGGCCCGCGGCCUAUCAGCUUGUUGGUGGGGUGA
rnacentral:rRNA from 1 species